rnacentral:tRNA from 1 species
GGGGAUGUGGCUCAAUGGUAGAGUGCUUACCUAGCAUGUAUGAGACCCUGAGUUCCAUCCCUA